rnacentral:rRNA from 1 species
UGAGGAAUAUUGGUCAAUGGACGCAAGUCUGAACCAGCCAUGCCGCGUGCAGGAAGACGGCUCUAUGAGUUGUAAACUGCUUUUGUACGAGGGUAAACGCUCUUACGCGUAAGAGCCUGAAAGUAUCGUACGAAUAAGGAUCGGCUAACUCCGUGCCAGCAGCCGCGGUAAUACGGAGGAUCCAAGCGUUAUCCGGAUUUAUUGGGUUUAAAGGGUGCGUAGGCGGUUUGAUAAGUUAGAGGUGAAAUACCGGUGCUUAACACCGGAACUGCCUCUAAUACUGUUGAACUAGAGAGUAGUUGCGGUAGGCGGAAUGUAUGGUGUAGCGGUGAAAUGCUUAGAGAUCAUACAGAACACCGAUUGCGAAGGCAGCUUACCAAACUAUAUCUGACGUUGAGGCACGAAAGCGUGGGGAGCAAACAGG